rnacentral:rRNA from 1 species
AAAUUGAAGAGUUUGAUCAUGGCUCAGAUUGAACGCUGGCGGCAGGCCUAACACAUGCAAGUCGAACGGUAACAGGAAGCAGCUUGCUGCUUUGCUGACGAGUGGCGGACGGGUGAGUAAUGUCUGGGAAACUGCCUGAUGGAGGGGGAUAACUACUGGAAACGGUGGCUAAUACCGCAUAACGUCGCAAGACCAAAGAGGGGGACCUUCGGGCCUCUUGCCAUCAGAUGUGCCCAGAUGGGAUUAGCUAGUUGGUGAGGUAACGGCUCACCAAGGCGACGAUCCCUAGCUGGUCUGAGAGGAUGACCAGCCACACUGGAACUGAGACACGGUCCAGACUCCUACGG